UGCCUCGAGUUCNCUUUUUAGACACCUUUC
rnacentral:piRNA from 1 species